ACAGCUUUGCCAGGAUUUGCAGCCAUCAGACCUGAGGACAGAAGGGUUCGGGCUGCAAGGAAUCCUAUUGUGUGAGAGCCAUGACACAGUGAGUGGGAGGUUGGUAUCCUACAGCAAACGGGACUGAAGGUGAAUCGCAAUCUAGGGUAGAUCUGUUGCUCAACAAAGUUAACCCCAGUAGAAGUCUCUGCUUUACGGAAUAAAGCAACUCAAAUGGGUAAGGAAGCCUGUGGCUUACGGGUGGCACAGAUAGGAACAGGACUGAGUCUCAUGGCAAGAGAAUGUGAAUUAUGCAAAAGAUCAUAGGAGAGUGCGGGAAAUUAAAGGAAGGAGGUGUGCAGACCAAUCUGAGGGAGGGAGUGAAUAACAUUUAAAUCAGUUUUGAUCUUGACCUCCUGGAGCAUUUUCAUGGAAAAGGCAGUUCCAGGAUUCUUUGUGGCCUCUUCCACAGGAGAAAGUAAAGGAGCUAGAGGCCUCUAAAAAUUUAGUUAUUGAAGAACUGAAGUUAUUCACAGCAACCUGGCAGAAGAGAAUGUGAAAUACGUGGGUCUCAGGUAAUAGGUAAUAUCCCUAAUUCCACGGUGAUGCUGAGAAGCAGAGGGCGCCCUCAGAAGUAGUUUCUCUUAAGGAAUUUGCAGCUGGCCUACAAGAACAGGACCACAGAAUCAGGUCCUGUAAAAGGAUUUGCUUCUUCUGGAUAUUUCAUAUAAAUGGAAUCAUAUCACCUGUGGUCCUUUGUGUCUGGCUUCUUUUGCUUAAUGUUUUCAAGGCUUGUCCAUGUUGUAGCACUUAUCAAUAUAUCAAUAUGCUGUAUUUUUCUUUUUAAAUUAAGACUAUAUAUUUUUGGAGCAGUUUUAGGUUCACAGCAAAAUUGAGAGGUACCGAGAUUUUCCACAUAUCCCCUUUUAUCUCUUUUUAUUGCCAAGUAAAAUUCUGUUGUAUGGUUAUACCACAUUUUAUUAUCCAUUCAUCUGUUGAUGGACAUUUGAAUACUUUUCACUUCUUGGCUAUUAUGAAUAGUGCUGCUAUAAACAUUUGUGUUUUUGUUUGAGUAGCUGUUUCAAGUCUCUUGGGAUAUACCUAGGAGUAGACUUUCUGGAUCAUAUGGUAAGCUCUAUGCUUAACCAGUUGAGGAAAUGCCAAAGUGUUUUCCAAAGCAAUUGCCCGAUUUUCCAUUCCUACCACCAGAGGAUCCCAAUUUCUCCAUAUUUUCACCAACACUUGCAAUUAUGUGUCUUUUUAAUUAUAGCUAUCCAAGUGGAUGUGAAGUGGUAUCUCAUUAUAGCUUUAAUUUACAUUACCCUGAUGGCUAAUUAUGUCAAACACCUUUUCAUGUGCUUGUGCCUAUUGUCUAUUUGUAUGUCUUCUUUGGAGAACUGAAUUACUUUUCAGAUUCUUUGCUCAUUUUCUAAAACUUGGGUUGUCUCUUUAUUUUGAGGAUCUUUCACUUUCUUAAUGAUGUCUUUUGAAGUACAAAAGUUUUUUAAUUCUGAUGACAUUCCAGCUUAUCUAUUUGGUUGCUUGUGCUUUUGAUGUCACAUCCAAGAAAUCAUUGUCUAAUCCAAGGUAAUAAAUAUUUUCACCUAUGUUUUCUUCCAAGAAUUUCAUAGUUUUAGGUCUUAUAUUUAUUUGAUUCAUUUUGAGUUUGUUUUUGUAAUAUGGUAUAAGGGAAGGGGGUGCCACUUUAUUAUUUUGCAUAGGGAUAUCCAGUUGUCCCACACUCUUGAAUUAAGGUUAUAUUAUGCCUAUUUAGUCUGUGAAGAAACUGAGGCUCAGAGAACUAAAGUGAUUGGCUCACUAUCAUAUGGAGCUAAAUGGCCAAGCCAGAAUUUGAACUUGAGUCUUCCCACAAUGCAACCAAUAUUCUUUCUGUUAGGCUAUAGCUGCUGCCCUAUUUCUAUUUCCAACCACAAAGAACUUAGACAUCAAAUGGAUUUUUUAAGCUAUUUUUAAUUAUUAUUUUCCUUAUUUUGAAACAUAAAGAAAAAAUGAGAUAAGGGUCCAUUUUCAUUCUUCUGCAUUUGGAUAUCUAGUUUUCCCAACACCAUUUAUUGAAGAAAUUGUACUUUCCCAUGGUGUGUUCUUGACAUCUUCUCAAAAAUCAAUUGACCAUAGGUAGGUGGGUUUAUUCUGGAGCUCUCUAUACUACUCCAUUUGUUAAUGUGUCUGUUUUUAUGCCAGUCCCAUAGCAUUUUGAUUAUAGCUUGUAAUAUAUUUUGAAAUGUGGUAGUGCGAUGCCUCCAGCUUUGUUCUUUUUGUUCAAGAUAGCUUUGGCUACUUGUUUUUUGUGGUUUCAAAUAAAUUUUAAAUUUUUUUCUAUUUCUAUGAACAAUUAUGGUGAAAUUUUGAUAGGAGUCACAUUGAAUCUGUAGAUUGCUUUGGAUAGUAUGAAUAUUUAAAUAACACUAAUUGUUUCAAUUCAUUAACAUAGUAUAUUCUUCUUUUCUUUUUUUUCUUUCUUUUUUUUUUUAGGAGACUCUUACUCUGUCACCCAGGCUUGAGUGCAGUGAUGCAAUCUCGGCUCACUGCAACCUCCGCCUCCCAGGUUCAAGUGAUUCUCGUGCCUCAGCCUCCCGAGUAGCUGGGACUACAGGUGCACGCCACCAUGCCCAGCUAAUUUUUGUAUUUUAUUUUUUUAGUAGAGAUGGGGUUUUGCUAUGUUGGCCAGGCUGGUCUUGAACUUCUGACCUCAGGUGAUCUGCCCGCCUUAGCCUCCCAAAGUGAUGGGAUUACAAGUGUGAGCCAGUGCACCUGGCCUAUUUUUCUAUUUAUUUGUGUCAUCAACUUUUUUCAUCAAUGUUAUAUAAUUUUCAGCAUAUAGAUCUUUUACUGCCUUGAUUAAAUUUACUCCUAUGUAUUUUAUUCUUCAAUCCUAUUGUAAAUGGAAUUAUUUUCUUAAUUUAUUUUUCAGAUAGUUUGUUGUUAGUGUACAAAAUGCUACUGAUUUUUAGAGGUUGAUUUUCUCUAAUUAUCAGACAAAUAAAUGCAAAUUAAAACCACAAUGAGAUAUCACCUCACAUCUGUUAAACUGGCUAUUACAAAAAAAGAUGGAAGAUAACAAGUGUUGCCAACGAAGUGGAGAAAAGAAAAUCCUGUACACUGUUGGUGGAAAUAUAAAUUAGUACAGCCAUUUUGAAAAACAGUAUGGAGGUUCCACAAAAAACUAAAAAUAGAAUUACUAUAUGAUCCAGCAACCUCAUUUCUAGGUAUAUAUCCAAAGGAACUUAAAUCAGUAUGUCUAAGAGAUAUCUGUGCUCCCUUGUUCACUGCAGCAUUAUUCUCAAUAGCCAAGAUAUGAAAACAACUGAAGUGCCAUCAACAGAUGAAUGGAUUUUUAAAAUGUGGUACACACACACACACACACAAUAGAAUACUAUUCAGCCUUUAAAAAGCAGAAAUUCUGUCAUUUGCAACAACAUGAGUGAAUAUAGAAUGCAUUAUCCUAAGUGAAAUAAGCCAGGCACAGAGAAACAAAUACUGCAUGAUUUCACUUACAUGUGAAAUUUUUAAAAGUUGAACUCAUAGAAGGAGAAUAGUGGUUACCAGAGGCUGGGAAGGUAAGGUAACUGGAGAAAGAAGAAAUGUUGGUCAAAGGGUACAAACUUUCUGUUAGAAAAAAUAGGUUCUGGUGAUCUUUUGUACAGCAUGGUGACUGUACAUGGUGACAUGUUAAUAGUAAUGUAUAUUUUUAAAUAGCUAAAGGAGUGGUUUUAGAUAUUAUCACCAUAAAGAAAAGUAUUUAAGGUGAUGAAUAUGUUAAUUAGCCUGAUUUAAUCAUUCCACAGUGCAUACUUGUAUCGAAAUAUCAUAUUGGACUCCAUAGAUAUAUAUAAUUAUUAUUUGUCAAUAAAACUUAAAAAAAUAAAAUAAUAGUCCUGAUCAUCAUUCAGGAAAAGGUCUUUAAUUUGCAACAUAUUCUAAUGAGCUAAAUAUUCUUCCUAUUUGUAUAUGUUUGCAUAAGAUAUCGAUUAGUGAUCUAAUACCAAGAAGAAUUGUUUUUCUUAAACAGAAAUAUGUUUAUGACAGAGUUGGUUAAAGUCACCUAAUCAACAAUAUUUGAUAUUUGUUUUAUAUUUAUUAUGUGCUAGGCUUUGUGUUACAGUACUAAUUCAAGCCAUGGCAACCCUGAAGAGAAUAUCUUAGUAGCUCAAUUAUAGUCCCAGGGCUUAGGGAGAUAGGGUAACUUGCAAAAGUAUACACAAUCAGAUGCAAUAGAGUUGAACUUUGAAUGCAUAAUAUUGGAUAUCAAAGUUUCUAUUAUGAACCUCUGUGCUUUACUCUCUGUAAGAAUAGGUAUGAUGCUAAGGACACAGUUGGGUGCCUAAUACAUGUUUUUUGCUUUUGAAUGUCUCAUUAUGUGAGUUAAAUAACCUAUAUGACCCACUCAGAAAUCAUUUUGUGUGUGGAUUCUUUUCUAUAUAAUAAACCAAUCAAUUGCUUAGAAAAUAAAAUAUAACGGCCAACAUAUAAAUUUGACUACAAUGUUAUGUAUGACUUUAAAAAAAUUAUUGUAUAGCAUAUCCAUAAAAUCAUUUUGGUAUAAUCAUACUGACACCAUCGAGGUGGUAUUCAGCUUGCUGAAACUUAUUCCUGUAAAUAAAAUCAGAUUCGAGAAAAGAGGACUAAAGACAUAGAAAGAGAAUAGAAACCAGAGAAUUUCAUUUCCAAGGUUGUUCAGGUAGGCUAGUUUAUGCUGUGGCAACAAACGUCAGUGUGUCUCUUCCAUGCUGCAUGUCCAGCGUGGGUUUUGAAAAAGGACAUUUUCUUUCUCGCUAACACUCAGGGACCCAGGCUGAUGGAGGCUCUGCCUUUCUGUUGCUGCAUAGCUCCGCUGUUAUGGCCACAGAGGAAGAAGAUAAUAAAGUCAAUUUUUAUCCAUAUGUCUACCUUGCAUCUUGAAAUCGACAAACAUCACCUCUACUUAUAGCCCAUUGGCCCAAAGUAGUCACAUGACCCUGUAUAACUGUCAAGGUGCUGGGACUGUGGGGAAGCACCUCACAUUCUUCAGGCACUAAAUGUAUCUGUCACAGAGAGCUUAUCUAGUCCACUGUCUUUCAAAAUGUGCACCUUUGAAACAUAGGGCUUUGCAGAGUUGUGUAAUGAGUCCUGGAAAUAAUAAAGUACAGUCAACUAAAUAAUAAACAUGAAAACCACCGGAUGGAUUUUAUCAACUGUUAAGUGCUUUUUUAUUAGAAGAGCUAUAAAUUAUUGUGUCGUGGAAAGAAGGAAAAGUUUUGCAGCCAACAGAAGUUGGGAAUUCACUCAUGUGCUUCAUUUUUUUCUGUUUUCAAAGAAUCAUUCACUUAAAAAAUCUCACCCAGAUUAAAGCUGUCUUGACCAGCCACUUAACAUCCUGCAAUGUCUUAUAACAUCCUGCAAUGUCUUAUAACAUGAUAUUUCUCCUGCUUGUGUUUUAGCUUCAUAAGCAAUAAAGCCAGGAUGUUAAGCUGGUAUUUCUAAUUACGUAUUACAAUUCUAUACAUGCUAGUUUUCAACAACAACAAAAUCAAAGGAAAGUUCACAUGUGUUGUGAAGCAACCACCAUACCCCCUCUUCUAAGACUCUCUUUUUUUAUAAUUCUCUGCAAAAUUCCAAGUUACCUGAAAACAAAGCUUAAAAAUAAGGCUAUUCUGUAUCUAGCUGGUACCUGUCUCCACCAGAAGAGAAAAAUCCAUAAGUCUUCUUUAUCUUAUAGUCCAUUGGGUCUCUACUGAUCGGGAUUACUUUUGUGAGAAAACAAAGUAGAAUGCUACUCCAAAAAAAAAAAAAAAAGCAAAAAAGAAGCCAAUUGCUGUUAAUAUGUCUAUUAUAUUGUAGAUAUAAACACAUAGACAAUGCAUGCUAUAAUAUAUCAUUCAAAUUUAUAACACUUGUUCAACGUUUACGCUUACAUGCCCUUCCUAAAAAUAUAUAUUUUAUCAGAUUUUUUUCCCUUAAAACAGUGAAUGACUCCCUCCCACAUCUGGUAGGUCUCAUUCUAGGCCAGUUUAUGGCACAGUUCCCAUAAGGGGACAAGGAUCUGGAGAAAGAAACUGAAGAGGAAGAAAUGCUGAGGAGCACACAACAGUACUUCUCUUUUCUCUUUCCUUUGUAAUACAGGCUACACAACAAACUAACCACUUUUUGAAACAUUUUUUAUAGAUAUAGGUUCUUGCUAUGUUGCCCAGCCUGAAGUGCACAAUCACUACACACUACAGCCUGGAACUUCUAGGCUCAAGCUAUCCUCCCACUUCAGCCUCCCAGAUAGCUGGGACUACAGGCUCACCCCACAAACUAACCACUUUUUCCCUGUGAGUUAAGAGAGAACUAAAUGAGUAGAUCAUGAUGACAACAAGGUCAAGGUGCUAUCUCUUGCAGCUAAUAGUUUUCUCUUUAUGAAGAAUGCAAUUCUGUUUAAUGUUUUGAGGACAUGUUCUGGAAUCAGAGUCCAUGGGUGCAAAUCCUGCCUUUGCCACUUACUAGCCAUGUGAUCCCAAUUAAGUCACUCAGUCUUUCCAAGAUCCAAUUCUCUCAUUUUUAAAAUAGGGAUAACAACAACAACAACAACAAAACCUAACUCAUUGGAUUACUGUGAGAAUUAAAUAAGUUGAGGGAUGAAAUGGGCUUAGCCAAGUACCUGAUACAUAGUUAUUGCAAAUAUCAGGUAAGCACUCACAGUACCUAGUUGCAACUUUAUAUUGCAAAAGAGGCAUUGAAAGGGUAGAAAAACAGUCUUGAAUUGCAAAUACCACCCCUCCUCUACCUGCCAGCAGCAGUGGUGUGAUACAGAGAGUGUCUCUGGGCUCUGGGGUAGGGAGAGUGCAGCACUUGUGAGGCAUUGAACUCAGUGCUGUCCUGUUAUAACAGAAAAGAAAACUGGACCAAACUCAGCUGAUGCCUGCCCAUGAAGGGAGCAUUUAAACCACCCCAGGAGAGGGGAAUCACUGAUCCCAGUGGUCCGAACUUGAGUUCCCGCAAUCCUCACCACUGUGGGGGAAAGGGCUCUGGGGCCCAAAAUAAACUUGAAAGGUAGUCAAGGUCACAAGGACUGCAACAUCUAGGCAAAUCCUAGUGCUGAACCAGGCCCAGAGCCAGUGGACUGGGGGGCACACAACUUACUGAGACACUGGCUGGUGUGGGCUAGGGGAGAGCUGGCAUCACCCAUCCUCUAACCCCAGGCUGCAAAGUUUGCAGCUCCAAAAGAGACACUUUCCUUCCACUUGAGGAGAGGAGAGGGAAGAGUGGGGAGGACUUUGUCUUGGAUACCAGCUCAGCCACAGCAGGAUAGGGUACUGGUCAGAGUCCUGAGACUCCCUUUCCAGGCCCUAGACCCCAGAUGGCAUUACUAGUCAUAUCCUGGGCCAGAAGAGAACCUGAUGGCUUGAAGGGAGGGACCCAGUCCUGGCAGCAUUAAUCGCCUGCUAACCGAAGAGCCCUUGGACCCUGAAUGACCAUCAGCAAUACACGGAUGCUAUGUGAAGGGCUUCGGAUGAGAGUCUGAGACUUACUAGCUUCAGGUGAGACUCAGCACAUUCCCAGCUGUGGCGACUAUGGGUCGAGACUCCUUCUGCUUGAGAAAAGCAAAGGGGAAAGUAAAGGGGACUUUCUCUUGCACCUUAGGUACCAGCUCAGCCACAGGGAAACAGAGCACCAAGGGGGCCCUUGGGCUUGAUUUCAGGACUUGGCUCUUGGACAGCAUUUCUGGACCUGCCCUGCACCAGAGGGGAGCCCACUGCCCUGAAGGGUGAGUCCCAGGAUGGGCA
rnacentral:lncRNA from 1 species